rnacentral:rRNA from 1 species
GUGAAAGACGGUCUUGCUGUCACUUAUAGAUGGAUCCGCGCUGCAUUAGCUAGUUGGUAAGGUAACGGCUUACCAAGGCAACGAUGCAUAGCCGACCUGAGAGGGUGAUCGGCCACACUGGAACUGAGACACGGUCCAGACUCCUACGGGAGGCAGCAGUAGGGAAUCUUCCGCAAUGGGCGAAAGCCUGACGGAGCAACGCCGCGUGAGUGAUGAAGGUCUUCGGAUCGUAAAACUCUGUUAUUAGGGAAGAACAUAUGUGUAAGUAACUGUGCACAUCUUGACGGUACCUAAUCAGAAAGCCACGGCUAACUACGUGCCAGCAGCCGCGGUAAUACGUAGGUGGCAAGCGUUAUCCGGA